UACGGGGGGGGGCAAGCGUUGUUCGGAAUUACUGGGCGUAAAGGGCUCGUAGGCGGCCAACUAAGUCAGACGUGAAAUCCCCCGGCUUAACCAGGGAACUGCGUCUGAUACUGGAUGGCUUGAGUUUGGGAGAGGGAUGCGGAAUUCCAGGUGUAGCGGUGAAAUGCGUAGAUAUCUGGAGGAACACCGGUGGCGAAGGCGACAUCCUGGACCAAUACUGACGCUGAGUGAGCGAAAGCCAGGGGAGCAAACGGG
rnacentral:rRNA from 1 species